rnacentral:lncRNA from 1 species
GGCAAUCAUCAUACGUCUGGCCAUCGCUCUACCAUGAAGGAUUAAUGUAUCUACUGGAUGACACUCUCAAUUUCAAAUUUCAAAUUUUUCGGAGUUGCUACCUCCCUCCUUCUUACGUCACUUGACCUGACAGAGAGUAGAAUUCUUUUUCUAAAUAAUAUAUUAAAAAAAAUUAUUUAUCUAAAUAAUUCAAAUUCUAAUUUAUUUAUCAAAUUAAUGCAAAAAGGAUAAAACGUC